ACCUACCCUAUCAAUGUAUCAAUACUGCAUGUUACCAGUGCAAAAGCACUCAGUACCUUAUAAAGGACUACUCCCAGUGAUUAAAGGAUAUAACCUGACCCGCAGCACAAGGUCGAAUGUACCACUUGGAUAAACCCGGUGCCCUUCCUACUCUUGUCCUUAUCCAGGAUAUGCUUUCUAUUUAUGACACUUCUACCAAAGCUCUGAUCGAUACAUGUACUACUCAC
rnacentral:lncRNA from 1 species